AAUCGUUUCUUUGGGCAUAUUUGUUUUUGGUGGUCUCUUCAAUUGUUGUCAGUCAGUUUUUAAAAUCCAGCUGCCCAACACCACUGAGGCUGUUAGCAUAACGUCUUCAUGUUCUGGAGUUAGCAACAAGCCCAGACAUCUAGUGUGUGAAGAAGAUGGAAACUGCAAAGAGCGAGGAAAAGCGAUGACUUGGGGUGGAACCUAAACCUAUUGAAAAUGUCUACAAGAAAAAAAUAAAUAAGAGAAGACUUAGACACAGAGAUGCUGUGAAGAUGGAGGCGGAGACUGAAGUUAUGGAGUCAUAAACCAAAGACCACCUGGAGCCACAGAAACUAGAAGAGGCAAACUAUAGAAUCUUUCCUAAAACCCUCAGA